GCGUGCAGAAAAACCCAGCAAAAAGACCAAGCGCACGGCAGCUUCUCCAUCACCCCUUUAUCAGCAACCUGUGUGAUGAAGCAGCUGUGAAGAGGAGCAUUGCAAAACAACUGCAAAGAGGCUGGAAGAACUGAAGACCUGAGGCAGCCAUCGGGGGGAGGGACGGGGGCACCGGGGCCCAUUUGUCAUCUUUGGGCCCCACUAUAACAUCUUGGUCCCCGAUGGCAGCCGACAUGAAAGAAAUCAGAUCACAACAUCGAUCUGUUUGUAAAUGACUAAUAAACAUUUGGCAAUUUG